GAUGAACGCUAGCGGCAGGCCUAACACAUGCAAGUCGAGGGGUAGAGUUCUUCGGAACUUGAGACCGGCGCACGGGUGCGUAACGCGUAUGCAAUCUACCUUAUACAGGGGAAUAGCCCAGAGAAAUUUGGAUUAAUGCCCCAUAGUGUUAUCGAAUCGCAUGGUUUGAUAACUAAAGUUCCAACGGUAUAAGAUGAGCAUGCGUCCCAUUAGUUAGUUGGUAAGGUAACGGCUUACCAAGACAAUGAUGGGUAGGGGUCCUGAGAGGGAGAUCCCCCACACUGGUACUGAGACACGGACCAGACUCCUACGGGAGGCAGCAGUGAGGAAUAUUGGUCAAUGGGCGCAAGCCUGAACCAGCCAUGCCGCGUGCAGGAAGACGGUCCUAUGGAUUGUAAACUGCUUUUAUACAGGAAGAAACCCUCCCACGUGUGGGAGCUUGACGGUACUGUAGGAAUAAGGAUCGGCUAACUCCGUGCCAGCAGCCGCGGU
rnacentral:rRNA from 1 species